UUUUAGCCCCGAUGGAAGUGAAAAUCCUUGUGAGUCUCGUCUCGUCCUUAAAGACGAGACGAGACUCACAAGAUUGCAACGAACAGCGGGACCACAG
rnacentral:sRNA from 1 species